AAUGUUGAGAAAUAUAAGCUUUCCUGCUAAUGAUGAACAAGAAAUAGCAAGUAUUCUGAAUGCCUUAAUGUGACACUUGUGCUCCAAAGGUGGAAGUGGUUGCCUGCUGAUAUUGAUAGUCACAGACAAUGACAUCAAUGAUGGAAUAAGCUCUAGUAAUCAAUGCUUUAAGCAAAGUAUGAGAGUUCCAUGGGGUGUAGGGCCAUCCACAUCUGUGACCAUUCAGGGAUCUGCUACAUAUGGGAAAGUUUUAGGGCUCCAGUAUUCUGGGGCAUGCUGGGUACACUCUCCAGAGUAAAGGACAAGUUCCUGCAAGUGUACCUCCAUCCAGCCCACGUUAGAUGGAUGAAAGCUGUUUUGUGGAGCCUCUGAUAGAAGCUACUAAGAUAAUUCCAUGUAGAUUCCUAGGGCUCUGGAGCAAGGCAAUGCCUUUUAUAGCAACAUAAAAGGAGCUCAUGACAUGCUCCUAGGUCUCAGGAGAGACAGAGUGUGUGAACAUGGGACAUAGUGUGACCAGAAAGCAGAAUGCUUCAUCAUGACCUGGGUUCUAUCACAACCACCAACAUAAGGUCAGGUGGGGAGAGCAGAUGCAUCAGAAAUGGAAGUGGUACACACUGGAUUAGAUGAGGACAAGUACCCAGACCAUCAUGGCACUCCUCACUGACACCUGUCACCAGCUCUCACCUAUUGGCUCACAGGAAGUUCACUCUGAUUAGUCAACAAAGAGGAAAAGGCUCUACACACUCCAACUUCAUUCUGCCCCCAAUCCAUACCCUCAUAUCUGCCACUCCCUUACCUGUCCCCAGGCUCCCAUUUAUCCUUACACACACACAAAUCCCCUGAGGACAUGGCUCACUUGUUGACUCAGCUGAAGCAGGUCUCAGUGUACAAGGAUGAGAUAUGGCUUUUCUACAGUGCUCCCAGGCUUUGAGAGCAACCUGAACAUGUCUCAACAAGUCAUAACAGGAGACGAGAAAACUCUGGCUCUCAAUUUCGUCCUCACUGCCACCCUGGCCCUGCUUUUUAUCACCUUCCCCCAGGCUCCAUUCCAGAUCCCUUUUCUAGUCUGACUACCUCAUGGUCAAACUCCCUUCUUGAUUUGAUUCCCCAGAUGCCCUUAGCACAAGUCUUCUGUGCUCAUGGUGUCCUAUGUCCUCUAAUCUUUCAUCGCAUUCCAAAUUCUUAGCCCCCACUGGAUGCUCAGCUCCCUCUCUCCAUUCUCCUCUGUCUCAUGUCUCCUUCAGCCUGUACAUCUGACAGUCCCUCUUGUCCCCAGUAUGAGGGCAUGAAUCUGAGUCUUCGAGAAAUCUUAUCCUUUUCCCCAACCCUAUGUCUCACCCCUCACACUCAUCCAAGUUGGGAAGGAUGGCACCCUCAACUUCACUGCACCAGCUCCAGUUGCUUCCCCCAAAAAGGUAGAACAGCCUCUCAUUCUGAAAACUCACCCUAUCCUAGGGUGCCCAAAAUAUCCCUCUUGCGUGGUCCCACUAGAUCCCAGAUCAUGCCUAAUACCCCAAAACCCCAUGCAGGUGUUACUGCUUCUCAUACAGAUUCUGUGUACACCCCAUGCCUCCAUGCAACCCCUCUAUGUCCAUCUCUGCUUACCCACAGUCCACACCACCAUUGGUCUCCAAGGAUACAGCCAAAUAGCCCAGACACAAAAAUGAGCAGGAAAAGAAACAGAACCAGAAUGUAGAUUCUAUUUAGCAUUUCCCAGGUUUUGUCUGUGGACUCUCCUUAUAAUAGGCACGUGGAGUUUGUAAAAAUAACAAAGAAAGCAAGGAAAUGAGGACGUAGAUGUCUGGCCUGAGCCCGAGGCUGGAGAGGACCCCAGACAGGAUGGUCCUGUGUGGAUGUGGGUGUCACUGAUCUGGCAGGACCUGCUUGUCUACUGGAGGUGUUGCAUUUUAAAAGACAGAAUAUCUUUAGAAAUCUUCAUGAUCUUUUCCCUUGAAGACAAGAUGAAAAGGUGUGUGGAAUGAGGACACUGUUGGAGUUACAACCAGUGUGGUGAGCCUCCUUCCUUGUCUCUAUCAAGCCAUUGGAUGUUACCUCACAAUACUUCCCAGAUCUUGGGGACAAAGGCCAGGUAGAAGCCAAACUGGGACCACAGAAGGUUUUGGGCAGUAGGGUCAUCUGCUGUGGAUGCCAAGUCAUAAAGGAGGGAGGUCAUAAAGUUUGGAAAUGUUCAUUUGGAGGAUUGUAGCCAGAUAAGGAAAGAAAUUUGAGGAUUUGAAAACAUGAUAAGGAUUGACACUGUGUGCAGGAUGACAGGAUCAGCUAAUUACAGGGUGUAAUAUCCUGUGUCCUCCUGGGUGGCAUUCUGGAACAGCAAGGAUCCAUCAGCGUAUAUUUUCUGUCGACCAUUGUAUCCAGGCCCUGAAGUAAUUUUUGAUACCUUCUACCCAUCUGAGGCCCCAGCCUUCACCCCCAGUCUCCUGUCAACCUUCAGGACAGCCUCUGAGCUGAACGCCCCAGGGACAUCCUGUGGGUCAUUUGCACUCCUUGCUCUGCUCCUGAUGCUGCCUGGUGCUGUCUGAGAUCCUGUAGGUUCCCUGAGGUGUGUGUGUAUGAUGGGCCCCUACACAAUGUGAAAUCUCAAGGUGAGAGAAUUUGAUUGUCAUGUCACAAGUAUUUAUUUUAAAUGAAAAGAUUCAUGGUUAGGACUUCUACGUCUAAUAAAUGAGGGCUCAUGUUGCAGAUUGGAUCACUCUUAAUCUUCCUGUUUCCUGAUGUUAGAAUGACACAUUCAUGCCCUUUACCUACACAUUGCAGCUCUUCUCACUAGAAGGAGACGAAAUCCCACCCCAGCCCCAUUUAUCUCAGGCUCGCCCAUAAGCACAUUGAGUCCAGGGAUUUUCAAAAAGCUCCCCAGAUAAUCCCCAAGAAAUCUGAGAAUAUGAGAAACAUUUCCCUAAAUAGUGUAAUUUGUGAGAUUCCAUAAGAGAUUGCUGCCAUAUUGUAGGUUACAGAGAUUUGCAAAUGGUGUCUCCUUAUCCUAAUCUAUAAAACUAAACCAAAAUACUCAAGAAAUUAUAUAAUCAGUUAUGUAGGAGUACCAGGAGUCUUAGAGAUAAAAAUAUUACCUGUGGCUCUAAACCUCUCUCAAAAAAUAGCAGAAAACAAUAAUUGGGAAGUUACUCUUCCCCAUUCUCCCACACUGGGCACUUCAGACCAGCAUGUAUCACAGACUCCAUCACUGUUUGGGCAGCCAGAUCAACAACUCACCUGCAUUUUGGACUAAAGUUAGGACCCAGCCCUGAAAGCUGUUGGAACAAGCACUGCAAAUGAUGAUGGCAAGACUGGCAUGUAUAAAUAGCUACACCAAAGGGAGUCUUCCUGGAAAAGGUACUCAGAAGAUUUUAGUCUUCAUGAUCUUGCAAAAAGAUUAAUGGAAAUUUGGAUCUAGUCCAGUGAAUGAAAGGACCUGGAGACCCACCCUCCCUAUUCACCCACACCCACACCAGCAUCCCCUCAAAACCAGAAAUGGCCGGUGUGCAUGAAGCAUGGGGGCAGGUCAUGCAGGGCCUUUGGGGCCACAGGAAGGAGUUUGUGCCGUAGUCUGAGUGUGGUAGGAAGUCACUGAAGGGUUUUUGUAUUUGCUGUUUGAUUUGUUUUCUGAUAGUGACAGAUGUUUCCUCACAGCCCUCAGAAGGAACCAACCCUGUUGACAGCUUGAUCUCAGACUUCAGUAUCCAGGACUGUAAGAUAAAAAAUUUCCUUUUGUUCUAAGUCACUUGGUUUGUGGGACUUUGUCAUGGCAGCCAUAGCAAACUAAUACACUACACUUAAAAAGUAAGAAUAAACAGAUGAACUUAAUUUAAUUUAAUUUAGUUAUCUUUUAUUUUAUCCCAAAUGAUAUACUUUUGAUAUUUAAUCAAUAUAAAUUUAUUAAUGAGGUAUUUCAUCUAAACAUGCAUCUUGGGAAGAUACUUUCUUCAUCUUGCAAACCUGUUCUGGCUCUAAUUGGAACAUAAUAUCUGCUUUAAAGGGUUAAUCCCAGAGAAUUGGGAAAGCCAUAAGCCUUUAUAACUUUAAAAUCCAAAGUCUUUUACCCAAGUGUGAAAAAGAAUGUCUCUUUCUUUCUCUAUGUUGUAGGGUUUCAGACACUCUGGUCCCUGAAUUUUAGAUCCAAUUUUAUGAGCUUGAGCCUUUAUGACCUUUCUGGCGCUUUCAGGAACCCAUAGCAUCUGACACCUGAGGAGAGAAAGACCCACCACAGAAUUUGCAACAUUAUACUGAGCUACUGACAGAAAGUUCUCGUGGUUCUCCAGCAUGAUGUCUUUAUAUAAGUUUUUCUGAGAGGGUUUCAGGAUCCACAUCCAUGGCCACAUCCUUGAAGGCCAUGGCUCUCGCAAAUUUAAGCCCAUUCAUAAGUCACCUAUCAUCAACACCUAUGCCUCCUAGAUAAAGUUCUUGAGCACUGAUAAUAGAGGAGGGACCUGAAACAAAAUGUAUUGAUCAUUUCCUUCUGGAUAAAGAAUUUUGGGAAAAUUAUAUUUCUCAGCUGCUUUUGGUUUAAAAGAAAGGGGUCUGUGCCUGUUGCUUUAAAAUCUUCAGGAGAAAAGUAUGCUGAUUGUGUUCAGUUGGAUUAAAAUAAUGUUUUGUGUGUACUGA